AAUAAUGAGACAUGCAGAUUUAGAGGUAAUACCCUCAAUUUUUGUUUGGUUAAAAUACUUGCUGAUCCAGUUGUGUCAUGUACUAAUUGACUGGGUUGUACGGUUUAGGACCGCAACCCUGAGGAGCCUGUGGGGUGACUGUUAAGAACAGGAUUGAGUAUGCACGUGCACCCAGAGCUAAAACGAAGCGAAACCCACUGAAAAACAAAAAUCCCAACAUCUUUUAAUUUUUGAGUAUUUACUUGAAAUCACAGUCUUUCCCAAAUUAUCAAAAAGCCUAUGCCUUAGCUAUUUUACUAGAAUAAUGAUUCAGGCUAUUCGGUAUGGUCAUUUUGUGUAGAACUUGGUAUAAACAGAUCUUUCUUUUCUUUUCAGAAAUUACUAAGCUCUGUUGGUGCCACAGCUGAUCCUUCUUCAGUUCCAGAGGCGUCUUCUGGUGCCAGCAGCUCUUGACAGUGGUACUUCACUGGUGCUUGAGGGACUUUAACGGACAGAUGACGGGCAGCAAAGACUGGCCAGAACGAGAGAGAAAUGGGGCUGCUGUUUGGAACAUGGAUGCCCUGGUGGUUUGCUUGCUACUGUGCCACAUAGAACUGCAGAAGAAAGGGACGCACUGACAUUAAAAGACCCUCAUUUGCUCCCUG